rnacentral:misc_RNA from 1 species
AGUUCGAUUAUGGCUCAGAUUGAACGCUGGCGGGAUGUUUACACAUGCAAGUCGAACGGCAGCACGGACUUCUGGUCUGUGGCGAGUGGCGGAAUGGGUGAGUAAUGUAUCGGAACGUGCCUAGUAGCGGGGAUAACUACGCGAAAGCGUAGCCAAUACCGCAAUACCCUUCGGGGGAAAGCGGGGGACCUUCGGGCCUCGCACUAUUAGAGCGCAGCCGAUAUCGGAUUAGCUAGUUGGUGGGGUAACGGCUCUCACCAAGGCGACGAUCCGUAGCUGGUUUGAGAGGACGACCAGCCACAUCGGGACUGAGACACGGGCCCAGACUCCUACGGAGGCAGCAGUGUGGGGAAUUUUGGACAAUGGGGGAAACCCUGAUCCAGCCAUCCCGCGUGUGCGAUGAAGGCCUUCUCGGGUUGUAAAGCACUUUUGGCAGGAAAGAAACGGCACGGGAUAAUACCCUCGUGCAACUGACGGUACCUGCAGAAUAAGCACCGGCUAACUACGUGCCAGCAGCCGCGGUAAUACGUAGGGUGCAAGCUAAUCGGAAUUACUGGGCGUAAGCGUGUGCAGGCGGUUCUGGAAAGAAAGAUGUGAAAUCUCAGAGCUUAACUUUUGAACUGCAUUUUUAACUACCGAGCUAGAGUGUGUCAGAGGGAGGUGGAAUUCCGCGUGUAGCAGUGAAAUGCGUAGAUAUGCGGAGGAACACCGAUGGCGAAGGCAGCCUCCUGGGGAUAACACUGACGCUCAUGCACGAAAGCGUGGGGAGCAAACAGGAUUAGAUACCCCAUAGUCCACGCCCUAAACGAUGUCAACUAGCUGUUGGGGCUCUCGGGCCUUUGGUAGCGCAGCUAACGCGUGAAGUUGACCGCCUGGGGAGUACGGUCGCAAGAUUAAAACUCAAAGGAAUUA